UGGCCUCUUUCUGUGCUUAUAACUGGAUC
rnacentral:piRNA from 1 species